AAUGCCCUGACCUUGCAGUCACUCAGCUUGCAGAACUCUCGUGAGCUGCAGGAUUGGUCUCCAAGAGUUUUAUUGGGUUUACAAAACAACUGAAUCCAGAAUAACAUGGCUACCCUGCUGAUACUUAACCCCUAACUGGAAUCUUUGCGCCUUUAUCAUGCAACAGAUAGGAUUGCCUGAGAAUGAGAUCCCCCAGACUCAGUCACUCCAUCAACAGGAAGUGGUAUUCUGAUACCCACAUAAAACUUCAAAUAUGACUUUGAUGAAGGCAGAUGCCUGACAAAUUGUCCUGUCAAAAGCUAUUAGCAAUGAAUCCUGCUAAAUGUAUUCUUACAAUGUCCCCAACAAAGUUUAUUGCUUUAAGCAGGGUUUUAAAUACCCGAGAUCCUUUUUUAAUUAUUAUUUGAGUUUCACUGGGAUUUAAUACUCUGUGGAAAUAAAGCAUGAAGAGCA